AGAAUGUGAAACAGGAAAAUAAUGCAAUGGAUAAAGGGUCCAGCUUACCUUUUGGAUCUGAACUGGUAUGUGGAGAUGAGGAUAAAAGGACUUUGGAUCAACAACUUUGUUCAGAUGGUACAAAAUCCCAGGAAGUAGAAGAUCUAGGAGAGUCUUGUCUAAAUCACAGU